AAGCAAUUGUGUCUGGAACACAAAAUUCCAGAGGGACUGUAAAGGCAUCACCCCAACUCUUUGCUGCCAUCUUAUGGUGAUCUGGAUUACACAGAAGGAUUCCCAUUAUCUCAAGAAAGCAAAUUUGCAGUCUUAAGAGUGGUAAUAAAAGGAAGGAUGUUGAUAAACUGGAAGGUAUCCAAAGAAGAACAACCUGGAAAGAAAAAUUUAUGAGGAACAGUUGAAGCUGUUGGAUAUAUUUAGCUUGGAAAAGACUGGAGAGACAAGGUAGCUGUCUUCAAGAAGAUAAGGCACAAUUCUUCAAAGAUGUUUCAGAAAAGAAAAAAAAAUGGCUUAAAUGACAAGGAAGGAAAUUUCAACUGGGUAUCAGGAAAACACUAAUGUUUCUUACAGGAGUCAUCUAACAACUUCCAAAAUUCUGGACACUUUCACAACAUAAGUGGCACUUUGGAACCCAAAUCAAACAUCCAACUUAACAUUUAUCUUACAAUAUUAUGAACACUUAGGGUCUUGGAUAGUUUUUUUAAAGUAUUGUUAAGGAACACUUUUUAUUUUGAACAAAUUGUUAGUCUUUUUUAUUAUCUUUGUUC